CGGGGCGGUGCGCCGGAGCGACGUCAAAUCCACGAUCCAGCAAUCGGCAGAAAUUUCUAGGUGUCUGAUCCAUGGCUCCAUCUCCAUUCAAGUUCCUUGUAGCGAUUCGCGUGUUUUCUUCGCAUUCAUGCAUUUGGAAAUUCCCAGGCAUGGACCGGACUGCACUGGGGGACUGUUGUAGUGCAGAGACAAAGAUUGGCGCUCAAAGCAACGAGCUGGAAUCGUGGCUUGGAGCGUUUCUCCAGUGGACGCCAGGCCGGGUCCGGCUAUGCCAGUCAAGUGUUGGGCAAGAGGAGUAGCGCGCUUUUUAAUGCAGCAAAGUGAACUUUAAGCUUGGCGCAAAAUCCAGGGUUCUACAAGUUAAAAUCAUCCAACUUCAGCAAAUAGAACCAAGAAAAGAUGUGGAUCGUCCAGAGAGCUCUCAAGGCGCGGUUGAUAUAUAUACCAGACAAGUUAAAAUGGAGACAAGCUCCUAUUGUAUCACUGCAGCCUCGCGACACUUCAUCUGUGGCGCACUGGCAGUUUUAAUUGAUCGCAAGGCAACAACGCCAUGACUCUCAAUCAAGGUCUCAGACAUGCUGAUGGAA